rnacentral:rRNA from 1 species
CUACGGGCGGCAGCAGUCGAGAAUAUUGGUCAAUGGGCGAAAGCCUGAACCAGCGACGCCGCGUGCUUGAAGAAGCCCUUCGGGGUGUAAAGAGCUUUUCUGGGGGAUGAACUUCGGUGACAGUACCCCAGGAAUAAGAGGUCGCUAAACUCGUGCCAGCAGCGGCGGUAAUACGAGUACCUCGAGCGUUAUCCGGAUUUAUUGGGCGUAAAGAGUCCGUAGGCGGCUAGGUAAGUCUUUGGUUAAAUACCCAGAGCUUAACUUUGGGGGUGCCAGAGAUACUACCUAACUAGAGGGCGUUAGAGGCUGAUGGAACGGUCGGUGUAGGGGUGAAAUCCGUUGAUAUCGACCGGAACACCAAAAGCGAAGGCAUUCAGCUGGGGCGGCCCUGACGCUGAGGGACGAAAGCGUGGGGAGCAAAAAGGAUUAGAUACCCUCGUAGUC